rnacentral:lncRNA from 1 species
CCCCAAUUCGAACUUAUGAUUUAAAGUUUUUUAAUUCAAAAAUCUGAUAAUCAUAAUAUUUUUUAAAUAUAACUAGUAAAGUUAUAAAAUUAAAACCCCAUUUCCACUCCCUAAAAUCACCCAACCCUAAAAUAUAUUCUCUCUCCCGCCUCUCAUCCCCUUUCCAUCAUUUCUUCAGUGGAUAGAACUGGCAGUGUGAUUGUGAGAACCUGAUUCAUCGUCGCAUGGUGCUUCCACUGCUCGUGGCUGUGUGGUGAAUUUGUGGUUGUGGUGGGGUAGAAUUGUGGAUUUGUGGUUCCGCAGCUCGUUUAGGGUUGGUCUGCUAUGACACCUCCAACGUUGAAGCUUGGCAUCGGAGUGGUCAGAUGGAGUUGCGACAAGAUAGAGUUGCAGUGGAGUUACUUGGAUUUGUACACGUCGUACAGUGCUGAUCUGUAGCUGCUACAACUCCGAUUGCAAUCAGAUCCAAAUCUACGUGUAUAGAGAGGUGGGGCGUGAUGGUGGUGGAGGCAUCGCACGAAGAUAGCUACGAGGUUUGUGUUUAUUCAUGGUAGUGUGUGGUUAAUGGUGAAUGAUAGUGGUGUUGUGUGGUGGCGACGACGACAUUUUUAGAUUGAUCUAUGGCUGCCGCGGGGCACUGUUGAUGUGACGGUGAGGUGGUGAUUUUGCUGGCGGUGGUAGUAGCGUGGCACAAAUGGUGAUGGUGUGGUGGUGAUUUGAGGUAUGGUGUACUGGCAGCAGAGGCCAUUGUGGCGACCAUGUGGAUGUGGUGUGGUGUCGUGCAGUCGAUCGUUGUGUUUUGGUGGUCGUUUUGUUGUUGGCGGUGGUCGUGGUGGUCUUGUGGUGAGAGCGGGGUGUAAUAGUGAUUGUGACCAACAAGUUGGUUAAUGUGUAAUCAAUAAGCAAUAUAUGACCAAUGAAAUAGAUAUAUUUUGACCAAUAAAUAAUAUGUUGUCUAGAAAUUUGUCAAUCUGUGAUCAAUAAUUUGUGAUUUGUGACUUAUAAAAUUUUGAUUUGUGACUGAUGAACAAUUGUGACCU